UACAGAGGGGGCAAGCGUUGUUCGGAAUUAUUGGGCGUAAAGGGUGCGUAGGCGGUGCGGUAAGUCUUCUGUGAAAUCUACGGGCUUAACUCGUAGUCUGCAGGAGAAACUGCCGUGCUUGAGUAUGGGAGAGGUGAGUGGAAUUCCUGGUGUAGCGGUGAGAUGCGCAGAUAUCAGGAGGAACACCAAUUGCGAAAGCAGCUCGCU
rnacentral:rRNA from 1 species